GGAUGUGAGGGUGAUCUGGCUGCAACAUCUGUCACUCCUGAUCACCAGGGUUGAUUUGGCUGAUCUUGCUGGCUAGGUUGGGUGUCCCCUUCCUCUCUCACUGCUCCAUGUUCAUCCCUCCAGAAGCUGUGCUCCAUUAAAGAGGGCGACCUUCCCAGAAUAGAGAGACAGAUCUUUGGUGGGGGUAUCUGAGUAGCUGUAUUCCCCUGCUAGAACCUCCAAACAAGCUGUCCAAAGACAGAUAACCCCACAAAUCAAGUUUCAUCUGC
rnacentral:snRNA from 1 species